GUGGGAGGGGGCUUGCUCCCGAUAGCAGUGGGUCAGUCAACAUAUUGGGUGACUGAUAUGCCGCUAUCGGGAGCAAGCCCCCUCCCAC
rnacentral:misc_RNA from 1 species